rnacentral:rRNA from 1 species
UACGGAGGGUGCUAGCGUUGUUCGGAAUUACUGGGCGUAAAGGGCGCGUAGGCGGCCGUUUGCGUCGGAUGUGAAAGCCCGGGGCUCAACCUCGGAACGGCAUUCGAUACGGGACGGCUGGAGACCGGGAGAGGAGAGUGGAAUAGCCAGUGUAGAGGUGAAAUUCGUAGAUAUUCGGAAGAACACCAGUGGCGAAGGCGACUAAUUGGACAUGUAUUGACGCUGAGGUACGAAAGCUAGGGGAGCAAACGGG